CAAAGAUUAGCAGAGACACUCGGUCCCUGGCAGCCUGCAGUCCAGACUCCAUUUCAGAUAUGUUGCCCUAUACCAAUUCAUACCAGGACAGCGUUCAGCUGCUACUUCGUCAACUACUGCCCACUACUCCAAGUAUGGAGUGAAGCCGAGGUCAGUUUACGUCUAUCUCUGAUAAACGGUGACUAAAUCACAAAGCAUGUCACUCAAACAGUUGAAGUGGUCAUGGUGCCUACAGUGUCCGUUUACAUAUCUACAGUAUCGUCAGGAUCCAAUGAAAUAUCGAAACAUGCUAGAGAUAAAGUUGUGGAGAAGGA